AGCUGUCCUGGUUCUGUCCCUUCCCAGCUCCUUGUGCUCCCUUGCCUCCGUGCUGGCAGGGCAGUAGGAGAAACAUUCUUGCCUGUGUGUGGAGAAAAGCUGUAUUUUUUUGCAUCAAAGAUCCCUUUCUGGCAAUUUUGUGUUUCACAGAGAACAUUGCACACAGGUGUCACAAGUGUAUCUGCCAAGGUUGCUUGCUCUGACUCCAACUUCUGUUUGCACGCAUGGACUGACUAAACCCCUGGGGGUGUAAUGUGACUCACUGAAGAAACCCUACAAUCAUAGAAGACUCUGGAGAUGGGCGAGGGCGAUGUGCCCAUGAAGCUCAGAGAAUAAUGCAGGGCGUGAAUGGCCACAGCUGCUGCUAAGAAGCUGACUAUGUCGAAACAAAGGGACCGGAGGGUGGCCUUUGUUUUAGAUUAUCAGCUAUCAACUGCUGAGUAGAUCAGAUGGUGAUGUUUCUCCCCGAGUUUAUUGAGUGCGAAUGUCUCUGAAUUAACCAGAUUUGCAUGGGGAGAGUGAAUACAUGGCUUAUCCCUACACAGAACACAUUAAACAACAAAGAAUUUCGAAGAGAGCAAUAAGCCUCAGCUGGCGUCAACCCACAUAGUUGUUCGGAAGUAAUGAGAACGCAGAGUAAAUAUUACAGCUGUUAUUUUGCACUUGUGUAGGGGUCUCAGUAAGUUAGAGCAUCACUUCUUUACAUCAAAAAUCCUUUGUCACAUCAGAUAUCUACCAAUACAUAAUAUUGAUAAUAAAUAUUACACUUUCCUGUAUGAAAUAUCUAAAUUAAGAUGGUCAGAGUGUACUGGACUACA